CCCCUAGAUGUUCUGGGCCGCACGCGCGCUACACUGAACAGUUCAACAAGUCUUAACCUUGGCCGAUAGGUCUGGGUAAUCAUUGAACGCUGUUCGUGAUUGGGAUAGACCUUUGCAAUUAUGGGUCUUCAACGAGGAAUUCCUAGUAAACGCAAGUCAUCAGCUUGCAUUGAUUACGUCCCUGCCCUUUGUACACACCGCCCGUCGCACCUACCGAUUGAAUGGUCCGGUGAAAUCUCGGGACGGCGGCUUGGUCGCUUGCGUCCGACUGCUGAAACUUGAUUAAACCAUAUCAUUUAGAGGAAGGUGAAGUCGUAACA
rnacentral:rRNA from 1 species